rnacentral:tRNA from 1 species
AAAUAAAAAGGGAUACGGUUCCCACGGGGUCCCGCACUCCUUCUUAAAUAGGGGUUCGGUCCCCCUCCCGUAAG